AGCUGCUCUAUUUCUUCCCUUUUCACUUUCUCUUUCCCACCAUUUGCCUGAAGCUCCUCAUCCCCUUCCUUGUGCCUCCUCAGAAUUCUACCAGUGCACCUCAUUCAGACAUUCAUCAAGAAAAAGGCCAGCUGAAGGCAGACAGCCAACAAAACUCAGUCGUUAGCCACAGCCCUGGCUGUCCUCGUCCAUCAAGCCUGCCCAUUGUGAGCUUCCAUUCAUCUUACCUGUCUGUUAUGGAAGAGUGAAGUGGAAAAGGCAUGGAGGACUCAGAAGACCUGCUACCGAGAAGAGCCCCAUUGCAAUCAGAAGAUUAUUUAUGGAAAAAAGCAAAAUGGAGAUAUUUAAAAGACGGAGAGAGACAGCAGAAAGCUGCUUAAGAAAUUGCUUUGAGUCCACAGGAGGGAAGCACAAAGGAGAUGGGAUAAUAGUGUUAUACACUACAUGAUAUCACAGAGCUGGCAGAGUUAAUGAGUAUCUUGGACAAUUGCACCAAAUGCAAUGGAUUGGGAUCACUAAAUCAAGACGUAAUUUGAUAGAAAUAAAGGUAAGGCCACUUUAUUCCAGAUACCAACUGCAAAAGAGACAAGAUAAUAGAGAAAGUUUGGGCUUUAGCAGCACUAAUGAUUGAAAAAGUCACAGGGCUUUAGUUAGUAUCAGUCAACUUUAUGAAUCAGCUACCCAGAAAGGCUAAUAUGAUUUUAGGAUGCACUACUAUAAAUGAAGUAACUAGAAUGACAAGAAAAUUGACCUUUAUUUUAUGCCAAUCAUUCCACAUCAAAUGUGCCUCAGGUUAGGUGCCAAACUCUAGGAGGCUAUUCAUAAAUUAACCUAUAUUCGGAGAAACCAACAAGUCUGAAAAAGGGACUUGAAAUCAUGUAUACGAUGAUACAUUGAAACAAGAGAUUUUCAGCCUGAAAGAGAGUAAAGUAGCAUUGGAAAAGAAGAAGCAUAGUUGGAGUAUUUAUUUCUUAAUUUGCUUUUUCAUGAUUUAUUGCUUUAUAAUUAUAAAAGUCACAUGGUUGUCCCUGGGUAUCCGGGGUGGGGGGCGGAUUGGUUCUAGGACCCUCAUGAAUAUGAAAAUCCAUGGAUACUCAAGUACCUGAUAGAAAAUGGUGUAGUAUUUGCAUAAAACCUUUGCACAUCCUCUUGUAUACGCCAAGUCAUGUUUAGAUUACUUAUAAUACUUAAUAUAUUAGGAGAUAUACCUAAUGUUAAAUGAUGAGUUAAUGGGUGCAGCACACCAACAUGGCACAUGUAUACAUAUGUAACAAACCUGCACGUUGUGCACAUGUAUCCUAAAACUUAAAGUAUAAUUUAAAAAAAUAAUAUAAAUGCUAUGUAAAUAGUUGCUAAUAUUAUAUUGUUUAGGGAAUAAUGACAAGGAAAAUAGGCUUGAAUAUGGUCAGUUCAAAUGCAACCAUCUUUUUUCCCCCUAAUAUUUGUUUAUCUGUGGCUGGUUGGAAUCUAUGGAUGUGGAACUAAUGGAUGUAGA
rnacentral:lncRNA from 1 species